UACGUAGGGGGCAAGCGUUGUCCGGAUUUAUUGGGCGUAAAGCGCGUGUAGGCGGCUUUGCAAGUCCGUUGUGAAAACUCGAGGCUCAACCUCGAGACGCCGGUGGAAACUGCAAAGCUAGAGUCCGGAAGAGGAGAGUGGAAUUCCUGGUGUAGCGGUGAAAUGCGCAGAUAUCAGGAAGAACACCCGUGGCGAAGGCGGCUCUCUGGGACGGUACUGACGCUGAGACGCGAAAGCGUGGGGAGCGAACAGG
rnacentral:rRNA from 1 species